rnacentral:rRNA from 1 species
GUGAACGCUGGCGGUAGGCCUAACACAUGCCAGUCGAACGGCAGCACCGUAAGAGCUUGCUCUUACGGGUGGCGAGUGGCGGACGGGUGAGGAAUACAUCGGAAUCUACUUUUUCGUGGGGGAUAACGUAGGGAAACUUACGCUAAUACCGCAUACGCCCUACGGGUGAAAGCAGGGGAUCUUCGGACCUUGCGCGAUUGAAUGAGCCGAUGUCGGAUUAGCUAGUUGGCGGGGUAAAGGCCCACCAAGGCGACGAUCCGUAGCUGGUCUGAGGGGAUGCACAGCCACACGGGAACUGAGACACGGGCCAGACGCCUACGGGAGGCAGCAGUGGGGAAUAUUGGACAAGGGGCGCAAGCCUGAUCCAGCCAUACCGCGCGGGUGAAGAAGGCCUGCGGGUUGUAAAGCCCUUUUGUUGGGAAAGAAAAGCAGCAGGUUAAUACCCCGCUGUUCUGACGGUACCCAAAGAAUAAGCACCGGCUAACUUCGU